UGCGGAACUCUAUCGAGAUGAAGCAAACCGGAAACACAAAUCAACACCCGGAAUUUACCACACGAUGCACAACACAAAUGAUGCAUGAGCAGCUGAAAACAUGCAAGUCACGGCAUGACAAAUCACACACUCAAACACUACACAUUAAGUGAAGUUCAAUAUGCAACGAGUUGCAUAUUGACGAAACUCCACGUUAAUUUAUUUAGCUCUAUCCCGAUUAGGUACACGGCAAUAUUAAAUGUGGUUAAACAUGGCAAGAGGUGAAGCGUAAUUAAACUACUUAUCUAGGCAUUUUAAAUGAGGUUGGAAAUGACAUAUAGCACCUCCGAGACGACCUCACAUGUUAAUUUACGAUUCUGUCCAGAUGUGAACUAACACAUUUAAAUAGUUGUUAAACAGCAAAAUAAAUAGGUUCACGUGAAUCUACGCGUCAUUUCAAGCAAUCUACACAUAAAGAACAUCUCCAACGGAGCUACGGGUCAAAAGUUACAAGCACCGCAAGAUAUGAUGGCAUGAAUGCAAUAUGUGUGCAACGACGGCUAUGAGCACUUCAAAACAUACAACCAGCAAGAGAAAAUGAAACUACACGAUAUUCUAAGCAAGUUUCAUGUAGGACACGAUCAAAUCGGAGCUACGGUUCAACAACUACGAGCAAAACAAGAACUGACUACAAUCUGCCAAGAUCAGCCACAUAGCAUUUUCUACACCCCACAACUACGGGCUACACAACUCCGAUAAACUCAAGCAAGGCAUGACACGAAAUAGGUCAAGAAGCACUACUACAAACAACUAACAACAACUAGCAUGGCAUCAUGGAUCACUAGGAAAAGAAGACACAAAAUGGCAUCUCACACGCUAUUUCAGACUUAGUGAAAAUUACACCUCAUGAAAAUGCAGUUUUCGAUCUGAAGCAAUAUUGACAGCAGCAAAACCUAUAGCUACAGGACUCCAAAUGGCAUGAAAAUUCGCAGCAUGCUAGAGAAACACAAGGGCUACAACUAACUCCAUUGGACCAACCUCAAAAGAGCUACAGAUCACAAGAUAGAAGCAAAACAAAACAGCAACAAAAUAAUAACUGAUUCUAGACUUAGAAAUAUUUCANGCUAGUCUAAACAUCAAAUAUCAACUCUCUAGUUGACAACUCCGUCAAACGAAGCACGGAAUAAAUCCUAUGAAUUAAACAAAAGGACAUCACGGCAAAAUAUUGCGCGAACUAACUUGCUCAAAAGCUAAAACAAAUUGCACAGAAAAAUCACAUGGAUUUUUCUACCCCGAAAACAUAUAAAAUAUGUGGGGUUGCACAACAAAAUAUUGCCACACGUAAAUGCGAGAUAUAACCCUAAACAUGGAAAAUAAUCUAGCGGCAAAUCCCUACACGCAAAAAUACCAACGACUACUCUAAACUACGUGGCAAAGGUGUCCCUAGAGCAUGGAAAUUUUAUCUAAGGCAUUCGAGCAAUCCGGACUUGCGCGAAAAAUAAAUACGGGCACUAUCAUAUCUAGACAGCAUGUAAACCUAGGCAUAUGGCGGCUCAAACUACGUCAAACAAUUAUGCAUGUUGCAAAAACGGAUUCUAAGCGAAAUUCUACGCCAAGACCAUAUACAAUAUGCCUCGAUUUGACUUACGGAUAAUAAUCUACGGACGAUCUAAUAUUCAUCUAUUUUUCUGGAAUUUAUUAAUUCCGAGAAUAACCUAAUAUACUAAUGGGCCUAACGGGGCCCAAGAUAAAUUAACACCGCAUUGUGCAAAAAAAAAGAGGGCUCGGGUGUUGGCUCACUUUGGGCCGGCCCGUUCGCUGGAGAGGGAGGCCGUCUCGGCUCCUGGAGCAGUCAAGGCCCACGCGGGGCGAGGGCGCUGCUGGCCUGGAUCGGCAGAGGGGCGACUGGGCCGGCUGCAGCAGCCCACGGGGUCGGCACGGUGAACCGCCUCUCCCCCGAUCUGGUGCUCGCUCCAGAUCGCGUCGGCGGAGCGCUCACUAGCGGGAGGUCCCGCGCGGGAGAUGCCCAGCGGCACUGCAGCAGGCGGCGGCACUGCAGCAGGCGGCGGCACGCAGGCGCGGACACGGGGGACUAGGCGACGGCGGCGCACGCGGGGCGGCGGGGCAGGCCGGCGGUGAGGAAGCUGCCGGCUGCGCGAGAUCUCGCGUGGGGGCAGAACGGGGCGGCGCACCGGCGAGGCAGCGGCCGUGGCCGACGCUGAAGGCGCAAGGCGGCGGGGCUGGCUGUGCAAGAGCCGGCGGCAGCGGCGCGAGGGAGUGCCGAGGCACGGGUGCUGCUGCGGGGUUGGUCACCUCGGGCAGGGACUCCAUGGAAGGGAGCUCGGGCUAGCGGCGGCGGCGGCUCGGGCCCGGGUGGGCUCCAGAUGGGCCUAGGCGGGCCCUGUGUGGGAGGAGAGAGGAGAGAGGCUGGAGGUGGCGGUUGUUGGGGUGGGUGGGGCGCGGAAAUCGAGGUGGAGGGGGUUGGCUGGCUAAAAUUAAGGAGGAGGUCUAUUUAUAGACAAAUGGGGGGCUAGGUUACCCGGAAUCGCGUUCUGGAUCCAACCGCGGGGUCGGAUUCGAACGAUUCCGCACGCGGGAAUGGGUACACGGCCUGUAGAGGGGAUAUCCGGAGACGAGAGGGAGAACGGGCGGCGCGGCAACGAUUUUUAAAACACCGACAGACGUCCGACGGUAGACCUAAUACGGUGCCGCUACAGUCGACCGUUCGGGUACCAGACGGACUCCGAGCACGACGAAAUUCGAUAGGCGGCCUAGCUAUAACUAAUCACGACCGCAUGCCAAGUUUCACCCCGAUCCGAGAAAGUUUUACGCACACUUUUAAAAUAGGCUUUCGAAGAUGGCGCGGGCGCGUGCGAGUGCGGUCGGGCUCAGAACAAACAACGACGAGAACCGACAACUGACAACGGAUGCAAGUUUUGAAAAACUGGCGGCAACGGGAUGCCGAUGCAAUGUUGAUGAUGCGCAUGAUGCGAUGAUGAUGCGACAAAUGAAAAUGCCCACACGACGAAAACGGAAAGAAAAGGGGAAUCUUCUGGAACGUCGGCACCGGGCUGUCACAGACACUCUCUCAUUGGCUGAUGGGCUUGGCAGGUCAACCUUGUUGUCAUCAUCGAGCUUAAUCACCUUAGUUGGAGCUGCAAUCGCACGGAUGUUAAAUGCUAAAAUUGCAUAUCACUUGAAAUUAGUUUGGGACUGAGUUAACCAAUACCUUUGGAAUAUUCAGCAUCUCCUUCCGCUUGACACUUCCCCACAACCUUCGCAUUGAAUGAGGUUGUCAAAGUAUCGAAAAGGUAGUCACAGAGUCGCUUGGCUGAUAGGAUAUGAGAAUUCAUUAAAUGAAGAGAAUUAGUCUUGAUACUUAAUUCCAUGCCACCAGCACAGACAACUUGAUCUUUGACAGAGACGCGGCCUUCCGGGGCUUGGUGGAGAUGAUCUUGGGUUGUUUGGCCACCUUCUCACACGUCCGUGCGGACUUACAUCAACCACGCUUCGAGCUAUGCGUGCCAGGGACCGACGUAGUUGUCUUAGGGCCACUCGCUCCCUUGGCGCCGCCAGCAUGGGCACUCGGAUAGUGGUGGCUCUUGGAGCGGUUCUCUCAUGGGAUGUUCAACGACAGAGAAGACCCUGCCUCCUCCCUGUCCUGUGUGUCCUCCUCGUCGCUUUCCUCAUUGCUGUUGGGGAACGUUGCAUGGGAAACAAAAAAUUUCUUACGCGCACGAAGACCUAUCAUGGUGAUGUCCAUCUACGAGAGGGGAUAUUCGAUCUACGUACCCUUGUAGACCGCACAGCAUAAGCGUUAGUGAACGCGGUUGAUGUAGUGGAACGUCCUCACGUCCCUCGAUCCGCCCCACGAACCGUUCCGCGAUCAGUCCCACGAUCUAGUGCCGAACGGACGACACCUCCGCGUUCAGCACACGUACAGCUCGACGAUGAUCUCGGCCUUCUUGAUCCAGCAAGAGAGAUGGAGAGGUAGAUGAGUUCUCCGGCAGCGUGACGGCGCUCCGGAGGUUGGUGAUGAUCUUAUCUCAGCAAGGCUCCGCCUGAGCUCCGCAGAAACGCGAUCUAGAGGUAAAACCGUGGAGAUAUGUGGUCGGGCUGCCGUGGCAAAAGUUGUCUCAAAUCAGCCCUAAAACCUCCGUAUAUAUAGGGGGAAGAGGGGGAGCCUUGCCUUGGGGUCCAAGGACCCCCAAGGGGUUCGGCCGAGCCAAGGGGGGCAACCCUCGCCUUCCAAACCGAGUCCAACUAGGUUUGCAAGGAGGAGUCCUUCCCCCUUUUCCCACCUCCUCUUUUUUUUCUUUUCUCUUUGAUUUUCUUCCUAUGGCGCAUAGGGCCUUCUUGGGCUGUCCCACCANNNNNNNNNNNNNNNNNNNNNNNNNNNNNNNNNNNNNNNNNNNNNNNNNNNNNNNNNNNNNNNNNNNNNNNNNNNNNNNNNNNNNNNNNNNNNNNNNNNNNAAGCCGAGGGCGUCACAAAGGGGAGAGCUCUUCCCCUCUCGGUUCCAGACCAGAAACACCCAUGACCCGUGACCAGAUGUCUGACUUUAUUCCAGGGCCAUGAAGACCUUCAUCCCGGCUCCUCUACUUGGUGUGUACCCGAUAAUAGGUUUACGACCUGCUGAACUGUAUUCCCCUUGAAGAAGACCCGUGGCAACACGAAAUGGUAAGGUGGCACACUCACAAGACUCGAUCUACGGUCGACUCAGGAAGUUUAUGUUUUUCUGCAAGGGUUAGCACCACACAAAUUGCUGAAAUAGGGUUACCACCCUCACGCCUCGUUAUUCCCUCAUUGAUCACUCUCGUCCAAUGAGAUAUCAGUUCCAUGGUUACACAUGUAUCGCGAAAACUUUCCUCCAAGGUUGUCCAGACUAGCAUGGCAUACGUGGCAUGAGGUAGUACCCACUAACCAUCUUCAUCACAUGUAUUCAACGACAAGCAAAAAUACCCAUCACAUGCACUCAUGCAAGGUAUGAUCUUAUAUGGCAGUUUUUAUCAACAUAACAAAAUUUAUGCAUUCAAUGCACCACAAAAAGCAUCAUACAAAUUAAUACAAAUCAGAGAUCAAGAUGCUUGCCUUUGGAGUGAGGAAGGGUGGUGUGCACCCCAAAAAUCUUGAAGGAGUUUGCUUCCCUCCAAAUUCCUAUUUUGAAAAUAUUCGAUUUAAUACACAAUUCCAAAACAUGACAUAAAAGUUGUUUCGAAAUUUUUGAAAUAAAUAUUAAAAUAAACUAGAUGAAAUUUUAGAGAGGUAGGUAAAAUAAUCAAUUCAUUUGGAGUUUUAUAUUAAAUGUUGUAGCGAGUCAAAGUUCUUGUCAAAUUUAUUUUUAAACGAACCAGAAAAGAAAAUGGUUUGGGGGUGAAUACGCCUUCCAGAAACUGAAAACGUAUCCAUGCGAAGGCGCUUACGCGUGAGGAAGACGCACCCGCAGGACAGCGCCACGAGGGCGACGACUCUCUCACCGACAGGUGGGGACCACCUCUCGGGUUCAUCCCGUUCCUCCCACGCUGUGGCCAGAGGCCGAUUCCGUCAAAGACUGCCGAUGCUAGCGAGCGUCAUCCAUGGAGCUCGAUACACCGACGUGCUCAGGGGAAUGGACCACAUCUCAGGGAGCUGGAGGGGGUCACUAGGAGGCUUGGAGCUGAGCAGGGCUUCGGUCUUGGAGGACGACGGUGUCAAGAGGAAGAGGAACUUCGUCCCCGGUGGUUCCCGAGCUAAAAUUGGAGCGAGGAUGGGUUCCAGGGAGCUUGGGGAGGCUAGGAAAGGCUAAGGGGAGACGACUGGGGCUCGGGGCUGCCAGAUUUUGCCGGAGGCUUCCAGUGGCGCUACGGACAGAGGCGAACGAGGAGAGCGGCUCCGACCGAAUUGAGGCGAGGGGGAGGGAGUUGUGGGUCUAGGGAGGCUGCUGGAUACUCAAGGGGGCUCGGGGCAUCCUUUUAUAGCCGGCCCGAGGCGGUUCCCACGGCGGCUCGGGAUGAGGACGGCGGCGACAAGUUCUGGUGAUGCACAUGGGCGGCAGGAGCAGACUAGCGGUGCGGGCAGCACGAGGACGAGGGCAGCGGUGGUCCAAGG
rnacentral:lncRNA from 1 species